GUUAGGAAUAUUGGACAAUGGGCGAAAGCCUGAUCCAGCCAUGCCGCGUGAACGAUGAAGGCCUUCGGGUUGUAAAGUUCUUUAGCUGAUGAUUAUAAUGACUGUAGUCGGAAAAUAAGCCCCGGCUAACUUCGUGCCAGCAGCCGCGGUAAUACGAAGGGGGCGAGCGUUAUUCGGAAUCACUGGACGUAAAGCGUGCGUAGGCGGUUUUGUAAGUUAGGAGUGAAAGCCCAGGGCUCAACCUUGGAAUUGCUCUUAAAACUGCAAGGCUCGAAUCUCGGAGAGGAUAGCGGAAUUUCCAGUGUAGCAGUGAAAUGCGUAGAUAUUGGAAGGAACACCAGUGGCGUAAGCGGCUAUCUGGACGAGUAUUGACGCUGAGGCACGAAAGCGUGGGGAUCAAAAGGGAUUAGAAACCCUGGUAGUCC
rnacentral:rRNA from 1 species